rnacentral:rRNA from 1 species
AACGAACGCUGGCGGCAGGCUUAACACAUGCAAGUCGAACGCCCGGGCAACCGGGAGUGGCAGACGGGUGAGUAACGCGUGGGAACAUGCCCUUUGGUUCGGAAUAACUCAGGGAAACUUGAGCUAAUACCGGAUAAGCCCUAACGGGGAAAGAUUUAUCGCCGAAGGAUUGGCCCGCGUCCGAUUAGCUAGUUGGUGUGGUAAUGGCGCACCAAGGCGACGAUCGGUAGCUGGUCUGAGAGGAUGAUCAGCCACACUGGGACUGAGACACGGCCCAGACUCCUACGGGAGGCAGCAGUGGGGAAUAUUGGACAAUGGGGGCAACCCUGAUCCAGCCAUGCCGCGUGAGUGAUGAAGGCCCUAGGGUUGUAAAGCUCUUUCGGCGGGGACGAUAAUGACGGUACCCGCAGAAGAAGCCCCGGCUAACUUCGUGCCAGCAGCCGCCGUAAAAC